rnacentral:rRNA from 1 species
UACAGAGGUGGCAAGCGUUGUUCGGAAUUACUGGGCGUAAAGGGCGCGUAGGCGGUCCCGUCAGUCCCUUGUGAAAUCCCCCGGCUCAACUGGGGAACUGCAAGGGAUACAGCGGGGCUUGAGUUCGGGAGAGGGAAGCGGAAUUCCGGGUGUAGCGGUGUAAUGCGUAGAUAUCCGGAGGAACACCGGUGGCGAAGGCGGCUUCCUGGACCGAUACUGACGCUGAGGCGCGAAAGCUAGGGGAGCAAACGGG